GAUCUUCCCAACCCAGGGAUCGCACCCGGGUCUCCUGCAUAGGCAGGCGGAUUCUUUACCGUCUGAACCACCCAGGAAGCCCGAAAUAUGUCUAGCAAGUCCCAUUGGGUUUAGGGCCUUGAAUGAAGGAGGGAUAUUGUGGCCGGCUUAAAAAAAAAUCACUUGGUGACUUUUGCUUUUAGUUCCUCUAGUCCAAGAUUAGAUCUCUUUCCUGCUGAAAGAGACAUUUGUAUGCGGUGAAGGGGUGGCCUCUGUUCAUUCCUCACUAACCUUGCAGACAUGUAGGUGGGUGACAAGCCAAAAUUAGGAUAUGUGGCUCUAAAAAUAACUAUUAAGAGGAAGGUAAAAAGAUUUUGUCCCCUUUUUUAAGCUUAGAAAACUUAAUCAUAAGUUUAAAUUACAAGAAGCGUGUGUGUAUGUGUGUGUGUACGUAUUCAGGCUUAACCAGAAAACAUAAAUUUGGUUUUUGUCAAUACUGCACCUUUGAGAUGACCACUUAGUGUUUAGUAGGCUUCCUUCUGUUGAGACAUUUAAAAAUGUGUGGUCUUUACUGCUAAUUUUCUUUAACUGUUUGACAAGGUUGAGUGCAGUGUCUAGAAACUGGCUGGCUGGCUGCCACCAGUAAUUCUGAAAUCCAGUUUUCGUCAUUUGAUUCCUUUUCUGUGCCCAGUGUUUCACCAGAGCCGCAAAUGCAGCAGAAUUAACUGACCUUCACUUUCGUUUUGUGCCAGUGGCCUUUCUUACAGAUAUGCUUAGGAGCAGUGAGAGUUGAAGAGAAAGGAAAGCCCAAGAAUUGCCUAAUUAAACGUUAGGGCAAGGUUUUGUUUUUUUUGGUUUUUUUCUCCCCAAACGAAACUUUCUUCCAAGCUAUCACAUUUAGUUAGGCCUGAAAAUUCUCUGUGAGAGGAUUGUCCCAUGUGCUGUUCAGAUCAUCCAGCUGUACAGUGGAAGGUGUAAAGGGGCAGUGUCUUGCCUGAGGUCAGUGGCUCUGAGCCGACCUUAGGGCUAGCUGCCCAGCCUCUUGAACCCACUGCCUACUCCAGUGCUCUCUCCUGUUGCCUCUGAAAACAUCUGGACACCCUGGAUCCAGCUGUAGGUGUUUUUGUGACCCCUUUCUGGGGAGUGUCACUCAUUAACGAAACCUUUUGGGUUUUGCACAAAUCUGACAAUCUAAAAGCUUAGAGGAUGUUGAUGAAAAAACUAAUCAGUCAAUCUAGGAAAGAAAUGGGAAGUUUUAUUCGAGCGAGGCUGAGCUUCAUAACCCAGAGACAGUCUCUGAGAGCUCUAAGAACUGUUGAGGGUGUGGGGAGCUGUGUGUACGUGGCCAAGAGUGACCUUGCUAACAAGUACACGUCUCAGCAGAAGGCUGCUGCUAAUCAGGAGGAACAGACAUCUGUGUUAAUGAUCUCAGUGUGGGAAGGUGCCGGAAUCCGGCUUUGUGAAAUAUUUCUCCUGGAAACAAUCUGAGGGCCAAUUCUGUCAUGUUUCCUAGAGCAAGAAGUACCUCAUCCUAAUCUUUGCCCUGAAUUCCUUUUGGGAUGUAUGUGAGUCAGUAACUAUAGUGGCUAAUGAUUUGAUUCUUAUAGAACUGGACGGUAGGCAAGAUUCUCUACAGUCCUUUCCCUUUCGGUAUUAAUUUGACCAAGGUUUAGGAGGCAUGUGGUGAGUAACUCCAUGGUGCUAGCAAUGCUCAUUCCCAGGUCAGGGGAGGAUUUCCUUGAUAGACCCCUUGAUGUGCUGUUAGUGGACUAGGCCCUCUGAAUAGUAACCAAAAGCCUCUGGACCAUGUAUCUUAGUAGUCUCUUAUGCUCUAAGAAACAGCUGCCUCUUGUUGCUUCUUCCCACAUGUAGAGCUAUACUACUAUAAUCUUGGUUUUACAGAGCUAUAUACUUAGUCAAUCAUUUCAAAUUAUCUAAUGGCCAUUAAUUUUAUUGGAGGCUUAGUCACACAUUUGGUAACUCAGGAGACAGUAAUCUUAUAAAAUAGGCAGAAUGCAAAUAAUAUAGCUAGUGACAUUAACAAGGUCACAAGUGAGUAUUUAAACUACGAUCUUUGUGUUAGGUUCAGCCCAGUCUCUUCUGGGUCAAUUGCUGUCUUGAAGGGAAAUGAUGUAUUGGCAUUGUAAAUAUGAUAUAUCUAUGUAUGAUAUACUUUAAGGGAAAUGAUGUAUUGGCACUAAAGUUCACCAAAGAUGUCUGCACAUGCAAGAAUCGGUAAUCUUGGAAGACACAGCUUUCCUAUUGGCUUGGUGGACCUUUUAGAAUAAUGUUGUAUGGUGUGGUGUCAGCUCUGUUUUCUGGAAUAAUGUAGUUAUGGAAUGAGUUGAAUGAGGAGAAAUGAUGUGUUUUCGGGUAUAGAAGGUGGGUGAUGCCUAGUUUAAAAGAAAAAAGAUAGAAGAGACAGUUCAGAGUGGGGAGAGGGGUACACCUGUUUGAAAUUCAGUGGCCCUCCAUAGCCAGCUCCUUUCUAGGUUCUGGCGAUCACAUCCCCUGGCCCCUGUCUCCAGCCCCGGCUUUCUGCUGGGUGCUGGUCCGUCUUCGGUUUAUGAGCGCUUGCCCAGCUCAGCCCAGCCAGUCUGUCCCACGUUUAACCCUUUUGCUCCUCCCCCACCCUGGAAUAUGCUUCUCCUGCUUUUUUUUUUUUCUUUUUCUUUGAACUAUUAAUGUUAACAGCAGCCUGCUGGUGCCCCAGGGUUAUUCUCAGUCUUCUUAUUCUCUCUGGAAGCCUUUGUCAACACUGGAUGGCAGCUAAACCCUGGUGACCUGCUUCUGCGCCCACACCGCCCGUCUGCUCCUGCCUUGCUGUCCUGGCUCAGACCCUGUAACAGGAGGCGCUUGUGCUAUGGGUUGCUUCACCCUCCUUCAGUACCCCAUUGCCAGGGAUUUCUCAAAUAUCCUGACUCCUUUGUUUGAAAGUUUACUGUGGCUUCUGUAGCGGGAAAAUAAAAUCCAAACUUGUUUGCAUGUGUUACACUUGGGCCCCAGCCUUACUUUUUCAGAGUGGUUCGUUUUUUGUUAUUGUUUUAUAAAUUUCUCCUUUCCUCGAACCAGCAACAACGAACUGAGCUAGUUACACUUGACCUUGUAUUUCUUGAAUGAGCUUUGUGUUUCCAGGCCUUUCUUUGCUCCUACACUCUACUUGGCAGCCUGGUGUCUGCUUUCAAAAUACCUCCUUCAAGGCCUAAGUUAGAGAGCCAGAAGAAUUAAUUUCUUCCUUGGGUUUCUUCUAUAGCACUUUCUGCAUAGACCCCUUUGUGUCACAGCACUUACCGUAUUGUCUGUUUAUUUGUUCACCUGUGUUAGAUUGAAUUUUUAGAGGGAGGUCAUGUGCAUCUUUACAUCUCCAGCAGUAGAAAAGCGCCUAACUUUAGCCCCUGGAUUUUAGCUUAAAUUGGCUUCUUUUCUGUCCUUCUAAUGUGAUGACAGGGAUCUUUGUCAUCAGACUGCUGGUUGCCCAAGUCCCUCCAGCUAAGAGUGGUAUAGGGAAAGAUAAAAAUUAUCGUAACAUGAAAAUUGUCUGUAAUGAGCUGACCACUUGAGAGUUUUCUCUGUGCCCGGACGUCAUAGCUGAACACCAGCUUGUACCUCUGCCAUCAAAUCAGUGUUAUUGUCACACUCGGUGCUGGUUGGUAAAGCGAGUGGUCACAACUGUGACCACAGUUGUGAAAUGCAGUUGUUAAUCUUGCAAAAGAUGCAUGAUGUCUUGUAAGUUUGAGGAAAGAAAUGUUUGAGGACUGAAAGUUUCACACAUGUCCCUCCACGGCCAACUACUAGUUAAGAAAUGAUGGGGUAGAUGGUACCACAAGCUCUUCAAAAUUGAAUCGUUUUGAGUAUCAAGACAGAGAGGUCCUUGAAAAAGACUGGCAAAAUCUUCAGCUGUAUUUGCACAAUUCUACAGCAGAAGUUAAAGAAGGAGUGAGUUGUGCUUUAUGGCGCCAUCGUAAAUGUUUUUGGAAAAAUUAAGCCAAAAUUCUCUACUUGGUUUCCUUUUUAUGUCAUAGUUCCAUUUAUAACCUACAUUAUGUUACAUGUAAAAACACAAAUGAUUCUGUUUCAUUUUUCAAGAUAAAGUUUCAUUUACACUCUGUUUUUACUACGCACUGAAAAUUUGGUCCUUUAAGUGGCUUUACUUCUUUCCAAAAAAAAAAGAAUAAACUUUAGAGCAGGUUUAGAUUAACAGCCAAGUUGGGCAUAAAGUACAGAGUUCGCUUUUACCUCCCCAUCCCGCACAGCCGCCGUCAGUGUUGGUCAUUCUCCUUGCGCAGUGGUACCCUUGUUACAGUCCACGGACCUGCACCGACAUGUCAGUAUCAUGGUCCACAGUUUACAUUAGGGUUCACCCCUGGUGGUGCAUUUUGGACAAAUGCAUAAUGACGUGUCGUAUCCACUACUGUAGGCUCCUACAGAAGAGCCUCAUGACCCCCAAAGUCCUGUGUCCUCUGUUUAUCCCACCCUCCCCUCAACUCCUGAUCUUUUUAGUGUCUCCAUAGGUUUGCCUUUUCUAGAAUGUCAUAUGGUUGGACUCAUGCAGUAUAGCCUUUUCAGAUUGCCUUCUUUCACUUGAUAAACAUUUACAUUUACUCCAUGUCUUUUCAUGGCUUGAUAGUCUUAAUGCUGAAUCAUUUCCCAUGGUCUGGGUGUACCACAGUUUUAUCCAUUGGCCUACUGAAGGAUAUUUUUGAUUGCUUCAAGUUUUGACAGUUAUGAAUACAGCUCUUAGGAACAUCCUUGUGCAGGUUUUUGUGUGGACAUAAUUUUUCAGUUCGUUGGGGUAAAGAGCAAGCACGGUUGCUGGAUUAUAUGGUGAGAGCAUGUUUAUGUAAGAAGCCGCCUAAGUGGCCGUGCCGCUGCGCAUGCCUGUCAGCAUGAGUGAGGGCUCAUGCUGCUCCAUGCCCGCAUCAGCGUUUGAUGUCAGUUUUCUGGAUUUUGGCCAUUUGAGAAGCUUGCAGGAUCUCAGAUCCCCAACCAGAGAUUGAACCCAGGCCCAUGACAGUGAAAGUGUCAAAUCCUAACCACUAGACCACCCGGGAAUGCUCUAUUUUGAGUUAAUUUUUGUGAAGAUAUAAGGUCUGUAUCUAGAGUUCGUUUUUCUUUUGGCUGGGCUUCAAGGUUUGGGGGAUCUUAGUUCCCUAGCCAGGCAUCGAACCCAUGCCCCCUGGAAUAAAAGCUCAGAGUCCUAAUCACUGGACCACCAGGGAAUUCCCUACAUUUCAUUUUUUGCUUGUGGAUGUCCAGUUGUUCCAGCACCAUUUUUGAAAAGACUGUCCUUUCUCUACAGUUUUGUCUUUGCUCUCUGUCAAGAUCAGUUGACUGUGUGGGUCUGUUUUAGGCUCUGCAUGCUGUUCCAUUGAUCUGUAUGUCUUUUUUUUUUGCCAGUAUCACAGUGUCUUGAUUACCGUAGCUUUGUAGUAAAGUCUUGAAAUCUGAUAGGAUUAGUCCUUAGACUUUGUUCUUUUUUAACAUCAAGCCGGCUAUUCUAGGUCUUUUGCUUCUCCAUAUAGCUUUAGAAUCAGUUUACUGACAUCCGCAAAAUAACUUGAUGGGAUUUUUAUUGGGAUCACAUGAAUAUAUAGGCCCAGUAGGGAAGAACGGGCAUCUUGACAGUAUUGAGUCUUACUCUUCGCAGCCAUGGGACAUGUCUCCAUGUAUUUAGUUCUUCUUUGAUGUCUUUCUUUAGAAUUUUGUAGUUUUCCUCAUAUAGAUCUUGUACAUAUUUUAUUAGGUUUAUACCUCAGUAUUUAAUUUUGGGGAGUGCUAAUGUAAAUAAUAUGUUUUUAAUUUCAGUUUCUACUUGUUCAUCGCUCAUAUAUAGGAAGGAGACUGACUUUUGUGUAUUAACCUUGUAUCAUAUAACCUUGUUGUAAUUGCUUAGUUGUUUUCUUUCAGUCUAGUCUCUGGCUUGCUCAGCUCUGACCCUGAUGCCCAUGCUCUCCUUUCCAGUUUUCUUCUCCAGUGAAGCCCUGGCCACCAGCUUAGACUGGCCACCUCCCCCUCCCUGAUCUCAGCGUCUGCCCACUGGCAGGGAGUCUUGUACCGCCCUAGGACAGCCAUCGUCUUCAGCUUUCCAUCGGCCUGUUGUGCAUCUGUAGCUGGACUGCCAUCUCCCUGUAUAUCAACAUUCAAUCAUCUCACUGCGCCUAACCCUUUUUUUGUUGUUCAGUAUCAUAGUAGUCCAGGGGCUGGUGAUGAAACAAUAAAAUCAUGGUGAACCUGGCGGACGUUAUGCGAAGUGAAAUAAGCCAGUCCCCAAAAGACAAAUACUGCCUGACACCACUUCUAUGAGUUCCCGAGAGGAGUCAAGUUCAUGGGGACACAGUAUCCAGUGCCAGCCACUUCCUGUCGCCAGUGAGUACUCGCCGCUCCGGGCAUGACGUUCUCAGGUGCCCAGAGCCUGCCCUGCGUAGACCGGCUUCCUGCCGCCACGUCAGAGUGACUCACAGCUCAGCUCGGCUGAGUCAGAUCUGCUGGGCUCUUCCGCCUUAACGGGCUUAGCGUGGACUCAAACUUGACCUCCUUUCUGCACGUGGAGGGUAUUUUCCAUCUAUGAGAACUUCCCAGAGCAACCAAACUUGACUGACAGUCUUAACAGCCAGUACCUGAAAAACACCCCCCAAAAAUUUCAGUGUUUUUUCACAAGAGAAAGUGUGAAAAUAAGAAAAAGCAAGACUAAGAAUUCAGAACAUUUCCUGGCCUGCCUUGGGAGCUGCUCACAUCUGAGCUCCUGUGUGUGUGUGUCUUACCUCCUGGGACUCUUCAGUGCUGUUUUGUGUUCAUGAUGAGGGCCGCAGACCAGUGAGGGGCUCGAAACAUUAACAGGUACCUCGUAUUUGCCACCCUAGAUUUAAGGCAGGAAUGAAGGGGAGGUGUGAAGAGUUUUUGUAUUUUACACAAGAAUAUUUCAUUUGUUAACCUCUGAUUAUCUUGUGGUUAGGAUGGUACUUCAUACGACUUGGUGAUUAACCAGGAAAUUCAGUUGAGUGGGAUAGCUCCCUUCUUUUUGUUUGUGCAGUGAUUGGAGAAGACAGUUGGAAAAAGAAAAUAAAGAUUAUUUUUGUUCAUUAUAUUAAAAAAAAAAUCUUUGAGCAGGUAAUCGGUGUACUGGUGUAAAAAUUCAAAAAUUUUUACAGAAGGGUGUCUUUCCCACCUCUGGCCCCAGUGCCUCUCCCUAGAAGCAAGCAUUGUCCCUCCUUUUAUCCGUUCUUCCAGAGAGACGUCAGGCAUAGAGCAUGUGUGGGUUUACCUGUUUCUCCAGCAGACUCGAGAGUUGCAAUGUGCCAGAGGCUGGGAAUCCCUGACUUCCCCUCCCUUUAAUGUUAAUACUCAGAGUAGGUCACUUUUUUGCACUAAAAGCAGCACUGUGUCUUAGAGAUUGUUUUGUGUUGGUAAUUAUUGAGCUGUCUUACUCUCUUGAAUAGCCAUAUAGUGUUAUAUUUUAAUUGAAAUAUCAUUUUGAUUUUUUUCAGGCCAGUUAAAGAUUUCAGGACAGUUAAAGCUUCUGCUUUCUUAAGUUAAUCGUGGUAAUAAAAGAUUUCAUUUGUUAAGUGCCUACUGUUGCCAGGUUAUGGUAGUUGUGCUUAUCUCAGUUAACCUGGGCACCAGGCCUCCAGGAGAAGUAUUAUUCUUUUUUCUUUCUUGGCCAAGCUGCAUGGCAGGCAGGAUCCUCCUUCCUGGACCAGGGAUCAAACCUGUGCCCCCUGCAGUGGAAACACGGAGCCCUAACCACUGGACUGCCAGAAAAGUCCCUCAAGGAGGCAUGCACUUCAGUUUUGGCAGCGAUUACAUACACCUGUCUCUCUUUUUUGCCCACAUUUUUUUGUGACAAGCAGCUCUCUACAACACUACCUACUGCUUGUGAAGUGAGAAAUCCAGUCAAGGGACAGGUCUACCCUCAGGUCCAGGCAGUGCUCCUGUCGGUUAGAAGCCUCUGGAUGGGCCUGCUGUCACAGUCCAGGGCCACGUGGCGUUCGUAUGGAUGCGUUGCGUGGAGAAGGCGGGGGUGUCUGACCUUGCCAGGGACCCUGAUUCACCGAUGAGAACUGCAGCCAGACCGGGUUUGUGAGUCACCUUUGUCUGUGGAUUGUGGGUAAGGAUGCUAAGGGCUCUGUUGGGUGCACAUAUAAUGGCGGUAAUUAAUACCAGAAGCGAAGGUGGUGGCAUUUUAUUGUUUUCCCGUGCACAUAGGCUGUUGGGAAUUGCAUUUCUUCCGAGUCUUCCUCUCUUAGUUUUCCUGCACUACAUUUGUCCUGGCAGCGCAGGGGUGGAAUUCAGGAUGCUGCAUUAAAGAUUACUGUAGAAGGCCCCCAGGGCAGAGGUGGUUGCUACUAAAGCGUAAUUUUAAAACUUUGAGAAGUCCAGGGAUUAUGAGCACAGGGAAGAGAGCCAGUCAGCAGGAGGAAGGCAAAGGGCAGAGGAGGCAGGUGUUGGCCAACCUUCCCUCCCUGGGCUUGAUUCUGAAAUGUUUUCUCUUGACAGUUUUUACAAUGGCCUGGAUACCUGGCUUGUGAAAGGUGACUGGGUUGUGGCAGAGAAGGCUCUGUGUGAGGGCGCUCCCUGACAGGCCUCAACUGAGCAGGGGUGGUGAGGGAAAGGCCUUCAAAAGAUACGUGGGGAGGAAAGCAAGGAGUCAUGGCAGGACUGGAGGAAAGGACUUCUGGUGGAACUGGUGGGGGACAGGGGCCACCUCCGAACAGAGUUACAGAUAGGUGUGGGAAGCUGGAAACCCAGCGUAACCACAGAGGUUUCCUGAAACUUGGUAACUUUUCUCAUUCCAAAGCCCUUAGUAGCACUUCUUUCUCCAGAUCCUAAAAUCAGAGGCGUCUUUUUCAUGGGCUUGAUUUCUCUAAGCUCUGGCAGUUUCAUUGAAAGUGUUCAGUACUUGGGAGCAGAUUUUAAUCGAAUAGUGAUCACCACAGAUCCUACACAGGGAGCUUAAUAUUAAAGAGGAUGGUCAUUCAUAGAUUCAGGUAAAUCAAUGAAUGGUUGAUCUUAAUAAACCAGUUAUCACUGGUUUAGAAAAGGAAAAUAUAAUAGCUUUAUUGGGAUAUAACUCACAUAGUGUGAAAUUCAUCCUCUUAAAUGGUACAGUUCAGUGUUUUUUAGUAUUUUUACAGUUAUACAGCAUUCACUGCGAUUUUUCCAGGACAUUUUCAUCAUCUCAAAAUGAGACCCUCUACUGUUUUAGCAAUCUCCUCCAUCCUCCCCUCUCCCUAGUUUGACCACCACUGACUGACUGAUUUUUAUGGAUUUGCCUCUUCUGGACGUCUCAUAUAGAUAGAAUCGUACAGUAUAUGUGUAGGAGUGGAAUUGCUGGAUCAUUCAGUAACUCGGUGUUUAACUUUUUGAAGAUGUUCCCAGCUGGUACUAGUGGUUAAGAACCCCCCUGCCAGUGCAGUAGAUGGAAGAGAUGCAGGUUCAAUCCCUGGGUCAGGAAAAUCCCCUGGAGGUGGGCACAGCAGCCCACUCGAGUAUUCUUGCUUGGGAAAUCCCAUGGACGGAGGAGCCUGGCAGGCUACAGUCCACGGGGUCACAAAGAGUCGGACACGGCUGAAGCGACCUAGCAUCCACAGCGGCACGCGCUGAUUUUUUGAGGCCUCUGUCAGAGGAUCCCCAUGGACCCCCACAAAUACCGCUGUUGAGAUCGAGAGGCCAUUGCUUUGACCCAUUGUGAUCCUUCACCAGCACCUUCUUUUCCCCUUACUGCCGGUGAUCGUGGUUUUAUACAUAUGCUAAAUUGCCAACUGAUUUUUGAGAAGAGUUCAUUAUAGCAUAUGCUGGUGAUUGUGUUGUAGAUGCCAUGAAUUUUUAUGCAAGAUAAGUUCUCUUUAUUAAAAAUUACAUUUGUAAAGUAGUAAAGAACAAAAUUUU